UGGCUCUGUGGCUGCGGGCUGAGCGAUCGGUCGCGCUCCGAGCCUAGGCGCGCUGGCUCCUAGCCGGGUGCAGCCCCGCGCCUCCCGCGCCUCCCGCGCGCAGCCCAGCGCCCCGCGCCCACGGGCUGGGCGCACUCACCUCCGCCGUACAGCUGGCACAGGCACGCUCCCUGGGAGUCCGUCCAGUGUGUUGGAGGGGGUGCUGGUUUGGGCAGCACAAAGAAUCACCCAGAUAACUCCACGACAGGACCCAGCGCUUGCAAAUGAGGGAGUCGCUCAGAUGCCGCUUGCUUGGAGAAGUGAAAGCUGGAGACUGAUAACCACCUGCUCCCAGUUACCCACUGUCAAGUUAUCAUGUUCACCCUACUCCCUACCACAGAGUCCAGAUGCCAUGUUGACACUCCAGAAAACUUUGGCUCAUUACGUCUCAUUAUAAUGAUAUAAAACACACCCACCCGUGCCAUGACAGAUCUGGCCAUGCCCAAGCUAGAGAAGAAAAGAGAUGGCACCGCGAUCCCUGGAUCUCCUCCCCUUCCUAUGAGAAACUCUGAUAAUAGCAUGCAGACCACACCCCCUUGUCACCCAUUGCUAGUGAACAUCCAGACUCCAGAGAAGCUUGCAAAAUGCCUGAAAAAUUUCCGGUCAGCUCUCAGGAGCCUGAAGGAGCCAGCGCCAGCACCCCAUGAAGGCGGUGGAGGGAGUUUGGAGCAGGGGAGGGGGUUCCGCUCUCCUUGGUGGCUGGAGCCCCAGAACAGUACGGUUUUCAGCCUAGCUGAGCCCUACCCUGUAUGCACCAAGGAACCUGCAAGAGCAGUUCAGGAGAGCCUGCCACGUGCCCCAUGUCAAUCAGGACAAGAUGCCCUGCAGGAU